ACUACGGGAGGCAGCAGUGGGGGAUAUUGCACAAUGGGGGAAACCCUGAUGCAGCGACGCCGCGUGUAGGAAGACGGUCCUCUGGAUUGUAAACUACUGUCCCCAGGGACGAAGAUGACGGUACCUGGGGAGGAAGCUCCGGCUAACUACGUGCCAGCAGCCGCGGUAAUACGUAGGGAGCGAGCGUUGUCCGGAAUUACUGGGUGUAAAGGGAGCGUAGGCGGGGAUGCAAGUUGGGUGUUAAAUCUACCGGCUCAACUGGUAGUCGCACUCAAAACUGCAGCUCUUGAGUGAAGUAGAGGCAGGCGGAAUUCCUAGUGUAGCGGUGAAAUGCGUAGAUAUUAGGAGGAACACCAGUGGCGAAGGCGGCCUGCUGGGCUUUUACUGACGCUGAGGCUCGAAAGUGUGGGGAGCAAACAGGAUUAGAUACCCGGGUAGUC
rnacentral:rRNA from 1 species